GGAAAAAUCUUGGAUGCUGAGUCUGUAAAGAAAGACAAUUUUGAGGUGAACUGAGGUAAUCAGUAGUGUAAGGUGAAGUUUUGGGUUUAAAUUUGAGAUAAUCUGUAAGAAACAAAGAACAAAGGGUGAAUAACCUGAAGUAAUCUGUAAGGGACAGAAUGAAUUUUUAGGGCUGAGGAUAGAGGUAAAUAGUGAGGGGGGUUGGUGGUAAAAUCUAGGGCAUCCAUAGGGGACAAGAUUAACAUUUUGAGGGUAAAACCUGCAGUAAUCAGGUGCGAGAUGGGCGGGGCUGUGGGGCGGGGCCGAGGGCAUUUAAACCCCGGAAGCCCCGCAGGCCCCAUUUUCUCCCCAGCGCCGGGAGGUGCCGGCAGUGGCCGGCCCGGGCACCUCAGGCGGGGCCCAGUCACGGGGUUCGGGCCGCCGCUGAUAAAGCCCAGAGGGCCGGAGCGCGGCGCCCCUCGCGGGAAUCCCCACACGGGGCCGGAGCCGCUCCGCGGGUCCCCCCACGCACAGCCCUGCCCUGCCCUGCCCUGCCGGGUGUGCGGCUUUCCCCUCCUCACACUGGGGGCGGGGGUCAGGGUGGGCCCCCUCCUCACUAGGGAGUCCUGGUGUGGGUAGGGGCUGGAUUAGGGAGAGCCCCCUCCGGAGGAGGUCCGGGGUGGGAGGGGUUGGGGAUCCGCCCCCCUGAGGCCCUCCCACCUCGGACCCUCCCCUCCGGUCCUGGCGCGGUCCCUCCUCAGGUCCCCCUCCUUCGGUGGGGUCAGGCAGAGGGGAGACUGCUGGCGUUUGAAACAAAUAUAUAAUUACCGUUCAGAGUGA